CGCCGCCUCCAGCUCUCGCAAGUUUGAGCUGCCCCAGCCUCCGCUCACCCUCCGUUGCAGCGCCUGGGCGGUGGGGUGUCGGAGCGGUGAUUCCCCAAAAAGCGGCCAUGGCUCACGGGACCAGCCGCUCUGCGGCAUGUGGGAUCUUCCCGGACUGGGGCACGAACCCGUGUCCCCUGCAUCGGCAGGUGGACUCCCAACCACUGCGCCACCAGGGAAGCCCUCAGGAGAGUGGCAAGAUGAGUCCUGUGUUUCAGAAGAUAUCUUUGGAGAAUGGAAGGACAUCAGAAAGAGAGCACGGAUGAAGGUGGACAUGUCACUAGGAGGAGGAUGAAUGAAUAAAGAUCAGAGAUGAUAGAGAUAAACUGGGUUGUUCUUGUUUUGGUGGAGAGGACUAUGUGGAUGGUUUGAAGGAUGAAAAGCAGUAAGAUUAACAAGGGUUGGUAAAUGAUUGUAUAUUGGAUGUAGGGGAAAAAAAGGAAGACAUAAAACUCUACCAUCCUCCCAUAAUUAAUUGGAUUUUAAAAUAGAAGCUUUACUAUUCUUUCACUUUAAAGCAAAGACAACCUAUUGCUAAUUCCCACUUAUAAUUAU